rnacentral:tRNA from 1 species
AGACAAGAGGUGCGGGCACACUUCGGCUUCGAAUCGAAGAGAGAAAUAAAUUCCUUGUCUU